CACUUCUAAGGAAGGCAGCAGGCGCGCAAAUUACCCAAUCCUGACUCAGGGAGGUAGUGACAAGAAAUAACAAUAAACCGGCUUAUGCCGGUUUAAUUGGAAUGAGUACAAUUUAAACAUCUUAACGAGGAACAAUUGGAGGGCAAGUCUGGUGCCAGCAGCCGCGGUAAUUCCAGCUCCAAUAGCGUAUACUAAAGUUGUUGCAGUUAAAAAGCUCGUAGUUGGAUUUCUGUGGGGACGGAGCGGCCGGCCGCAACUCGCGGCUCGAGCUAGCGCUUUCCCUACAUCCUGCCGCGAACCGUGCUACCAUUAGUUUGGUGGCGCCGGGGAUCGGCUCGAUUACUUUGAGAAAAAUAGAGUGUUCAAAGCAGGCCACACGCCUUGAAUAAGUUAGCAUGGAAUAAUAACUAAGGACUUCGGUUCUAUUUUGUUGGUGUUCGGGACUGAAGUAAUGAUUGAUAGGGACAGUUGGGGCGGUCUGUAUUCCAAAGCGAGAGGUGAAAUUCUUAGACCUUCGGAAGACAAACAGCUGCGAAAGCGUUCCGCAAGGAUGUUCCCUUUGAUCAAGAACGAAAGUUGGGGGAUCGAAGACGAUCAGAUACCGUCGUAGUCUCAACUAUAAACUAUACCAGCUAGGGAUCGGCCAACGUUAUUUUAUACCGACUUGGUCGGCACCUUAUGAGAAAUCAAAGCAUCUGGGUUCCGGGGGGAGUAUGGUCGCAAGGCUGAAACUUAAAGGAAUUGACGGAAGGGCACCACCAGCCGUGGAGCCUGUGGCUUAAUUUGACUCAACACGGGAAAACUUACCAGGUCCAGACAUAGUAAGGAUUGACAGAUUGAUAGCUCUUUCUUGAUUCUGUGGGUGGUGGUGCAUGGCCGUUCUUAGUUGGUGGAGUGAUUUGUCUGGUUAAUUCCGUUAACGAACGAGACCCCAGCCUGCUAAAUAGCGCGUGUGAACUUUGCUCGCAGCGAGCUUCUUAGAGGGACUAUGAUGCGCGAUAGCACAUGGAGGUUUGGGGCAAUAACAGGUCUGUGAUGCCCUUAGAUGUUCUGGGCCGCACACGGGCUACACUGGCGCCUGCAACGAGCAUAUCAGCUGGCCCGAGAGGGUCUUGGCUAAUCUUUUGAACCGGCGCCGUGCUUGGGAUUGACCUUUGCAAUUGUUGGUCAUGCAACGAGGAAUGCCUUGUAAACGCGAGUCAUCAGCUCGCAUUGAAUACGUCCCUGCCCUUUGUACACACCGCCCGUCGCUCCUACCGAUGAAUGUUCCGAUGAAAUUUUCGGAGAGCACCUGUGAACUUGGCUCUGCCUUGCGAACGGGAGGCUCAAAGUCACUUAAAUCUGAACGUUUCGAGG
rnacentral:rRNA from 1 species